rnacentral:rRNA from 1 species
AACGAACGCUGGCGGCAUGCCUAACACAUGCAAGUCGAACGAGACCUUCGGGUCUAGUGGCGCACGGGUGCGUAACGCGUGGGAAUCUGCCCUUGGGUUCGGAAUAACAGUUGGAAACGACUGCUAAUACCGGAUGAUGACGUAAGUCCAAAGAUUUAUCGCCCAGGGAUGAGCCCGCGUAGGAUUAGCUAGUUGGUGGGGUAAAGGCCUACCAAGGCGACGAUCCUUAGCUGGUCUGAGAGGAUGAUAAGCCACACUGGGACUGAGACACGGCCCAGACUCCUACGGGAGGCAGCAGUGGGGAAUAUUGGACAAUGGGCGAAAGCCUGAUCCAGCAAUGCCGCGUGAGUGAUGAAGGCCUUAGGGUUGUAAAGCUCUUUUACCCGGGAUGAUAAUGACAGUACCGGGAGAAUAAGCCCCGGCUAACUCCGUG